AUUGAUCUAGUUCUCUAGAGUAAAAUGGAGUGGGCGGAAUAUGUCAUGUAGCGGUGAAAUGCAUAGAUAUGACAUAGAACACCGAUCGCGAAGGCAGCUCACUAAGAUGUUACUGACGCUGAUGCACGAAAGCGUGGGGAUCAAACAGGAUUAGAUACCCUGGUAGUCCACGCUGUAAACGAUGAUAACUCGUUGUCGGGGAUAUACAGUCGGUGACCAAGCGAAAGCGAUAAGUUAUCCACCUGGGGAGUACGAUCGCA
rnacentral:rRNA from 1 species